rnacentral:misc_RNA from 1 species
GAAAUGCGAUAAGUAAUGUGAAUUGCAGAAUUCAGUGAAUCAUCGAAUCUUUGAACGCAUAUUGCGCCCCCUGGUAUUCCGGGGGGCAUGCCUGUUCGAGCGUCAUUUCACCACUCAAGCCUCGCUUGGUAUUGGGCGACGCGGUCCGCCGCGCGCCUCAAAUCGACCGGCUGGGUCUUUCGUCCCCUCAGCGUUGUGGAAACUAUUCGCUAAAGGGUGCCGCGGGAGGCCACGCCGUAAAACAACCCCAUUUCUAAGGUUGACCUCGGAUCAGGUAGGGAUACCCGCUGAACUUAAGC